AAUCAACGCUGGCGGCGUGCCUCAGACAUGCAAGUCGAACGAUUAAAGCUCUCUUCGGAGAGUGCAUAAAGUGGCGCACGGGUGAGUAACACGUAAGUAAUCUACCUUCGAGUGGGGAAUAACGUCCGGAAACGGACGCUAAUACCGCAUAAUGCAGCGGCAUCGCAAGAUGACAGUUGUUAAAGGAGCAAUUCGCUUGAAGGAGAGCUUGCGGCAGAUUAGCUUGUUGGUAAGGUAACGGCUUACCAAGGAUACGAGCUGUAACCGGUCUAAGAGGACGGUCGGUCACACUGACACUGAAUAACGGGUCAGACUCCUACGGGAGGCAGCAGUCGGGAAUUUUGGGCAAUGGGGGAAACCCUGACCCAGCAACGCCGCGUGGAGGAUGAAGUAUUUCGGUAUGUAAACUUCGAAAGAAUAGGAAGAAUUAAUGACGGUACUAUUUAUAAGGUCCGGCUAACUACGUGCCAGCCGCCGCCGUAAUAC
rnacentral:rRNA from 1 species